rnacentral:rRNA from 1 species
AUUGAACGCUGGCGGCAGGCCUAACACAUGCAAGUCGAGCGGAUGAAGGGAGCUUGCUCCUGGAUUCAGCGGCGGACGGGUGAGUAAUGCCUAGGAAUCUGCCUGGUAGUGGGGGAUAACGUCCGGAGACGGGCGCUACUACCGCCUACGUCCUGCGGGAGCAAGUGGGGGAUCUUCGGACCUCACGCUAUCAGAUGAGCCUAGGUCGGAUUAGCUAGUUGGUGGGGUAAAGGCCUACCAAGCCGACGAUCCGUAACUGGUCUGAGAGGAUGAUCAGUCACAUGGGAACUUAGACACGGUCAAGAGUCCUACGGGAGGGAGCAGUGGGGAAUAUUAGACAAUGGGCGAAAGCCUGAUCCAGCCAUGGCGCGUGUGUGAAGAAGGUCUUCGGAGUGUAAAGAACGUUAAGGGGGGAUGAAGCGCAGUAAGUUAAUACCAUGCUGUUGUGACGGUAACAACAGAAUAAGCACCGGCUAACUUCGUG